rnacentral:rRNA from 1 species
UGCGAAUGGCUCAUUAAAUCAGUUAUCGUUUAUUUGAUAGUACCUUACUACUUGGAUAACCGUGGUAAUUCUAGAGCUAAUACAUGCUAAAAACCCCAACUUCGGGAGGGGUGUAUUUAUUAGAUAAAAAACCAAUGCCCUUCGGGGCUCCUUGGUGAUUCAUGAUAACUUCUCAGAUCGCAUAGCCUUGAGCUGGCGACGGUUCAUUCAAAUUUCUGCCCUAUCAACUUUCGAUGGUAAGGUAGUGGCUUACCAUGGUUGCAACGGGUAACGGGGAAUUAGGGUUCGAUUCCGGAGAGGGAGCCUGAGAAACGGCUACCACAUCCAAGGAAGGCAGCAGGCGCGCAAAUUACCCAAUUCCGAUACGGAGAGGUAGUGACAAUAAAUACUGAUACAGGGCUCUUUUGGGUCUUGUAAUUGGAAUGAGUACAAUUUAAACCUCUUAACGAGGAACAAUUGGAGGGCAAGUCUGGUGCCAGCAGCCGCGGUAAUUCCAGCUCCAAUAGCGUAUAUUAAAGUUGUUGCAGUUAAAAAGCUCGUAGUUGAACCUUUGGCCUGGCUGGCAGGUCCGCCUCACCGCGUGCACUUGUCCGGCCGGGCCUUUUCUUCUGGAGAACCGCAUGCCCUUCACUGGGUGUGUUGGGGACCAGGACUUUUACUUUGAAAAAAUUAGAGUGUUCAAAGCAGGCCUUUGCUCGAAUACGUUAGCAUGGAAUAAUAGAAUAGGACGUGCGGUCCUAUUUUGUUGGUUUCUAGGACCGCCGUAAUGAUUAAUAGGGACAGUUGGGGGCAUCAGUAUUCAAUUGUCAGAGGUGAAAUUCUUGGAUUUAUUGAAGACUAACUACUGCGAAAGCAUUUGCCAAAGAUGUUUUCAUUAAUCAGUGAACGAAAGUUAGGGGAUCGAAGACGAUCAGAUACCGUCGUAGUCUUAACCAUAAACUAUGCCGACUAGGGAUCGGGCGGUGUUUCUAAUGUGACCCGCUCGGCACCUUACGAGAAAUCAAA